CUCCCUCCGCCGGCGCCUCGGUCCUCCGCCUUCCCGGCCUUGGCUCACCUAGCGGCCGGGCGCCGGGCUGGGAAGUUGCACAGUCCGCUCCCCGCGCCCCCGACCCGCCGGGCGGGGUGCACGGCGGGGCGCUCCCCGGCUCGGCGCGGAUCCGUGCCCCCGGCGGAGAGCGACUGCAGACUCGGGCGGCGUGGGGCGCGCGGGCGGCGCGGCUGCCUAAAAAGGCUUGCCUCUCCCGGCCGUCGCCUGCAGCCAGCCCUCGCCCCUCCGAGGGUGACCUGCACCGGCCCCGCGCGGGGCAGCCGGCGGGCACCGGGGGCGCGGGGGCGGCAGGGAUGCAGGAGUGCGGACGCGCGGCGAGCGGCGGGCAGAGGAGUCCGGGCGCCCGGCUCCGCGGAAGUCUUGGAUAUUGCUGUAUGAAGAGGAGAUGCUCAGACCUUUUCCAUCUGCCUUGCAGUCAUGAGGAGACAACUAUUGUAAAUGAACAGAAAUCAAAGAGAAGGCAAGACUGCACACCCUGAAAACUUCUUAUCAUCUGUAAUUAGCUCCUCAUGAGGAGAGUCCUAUCAGAGCCAAGAUAUGCUGAGCCCAACUCACACCGGACUCACACCGGCUCCUGCGUGGAGAUCGUGGAGAUCCAGGGAGGGCAGCCUCACAGAUGAUGUAUUUAUGAGAACUGAUCGUGCUCCCGUGGAACAGAGAACACUAGCACAGAGAGCACUGGGUCCGUGCACAGUAGGUUUUGGAGAGAAUAACAUGUAUUUUGACUCAAUAAAUGCUGCUUGUUUAGGU
rnacentral:lncRNA from 1 species